rnacentral:rRNA from 1 species
CGAACGGGUGAGUAACGCGUGAGGAACCUGCCUCAAAGAGGGGGACAACAGUUGGAAACGACUGCUAAUACCGCAUAAGCCCACGGCUCGGCAUCGAGCAGAGGGAAAAGGAACAAUCCGCUUUGAGAUGGCCUCGCGUCCGAUUAGCUAGUUGGUGAGGUAACGGCCCACCAAGGCGACGAUCGGUAGCCGGACUGAGAGGUUGAACGGCCACAUUGGGACUGAGACACGGCCCUG